rnacentral:rRNA from 1 species
AUUGAACGCUGGCGGCAUGCUUUACACAUGCAAGUCGAACGGCAGCGCGGGCUUCGGCCUGGCGGCGAGUGGCGAACGGGUGAGUAAUACAUCGGAACGUGCCCAGUAGUGGGGGAUAGCUCGGCGAAAGCCGGAUUAAUACCGCAUACGACCUGAGGGUGAAAGCGGGGGAUCUUCGGACCUCGCGCUAUUGGAGCGGCCGAUGGCAGAUUAGCUAGUUGGUGGGGUAAAGGCCUACCAAGGCGACGAUCUGUAGCUGGUCUGAGAGGACGACCAGCCAGACUGGGACUGAGACACGGCCCAGACUCCUACGGGAGGCAGCAGUGGGGAAUUUUGGACAAUGGGCGAAAGCCUGAUCCAGCAAUGCCGCGUGUGUGAUGAAGGCCUUCGGGUUGUAAAGCACUUUUGGCGGGAACGAAAAGGACUGUGCCAAUACCACGGUUCGAUGACGGUACCCGCAGAAUAAGCACCGGCUAACUACGUG